UGCUUCAACACGGGGAGCCCGGGGCACCGGGCUGAGAGGAGGGCUGAGGCUGCCCUCGACCCGCUGAACCUGAUCCGGGUAAUGCCGGCGGAGGGAGAAAUCACACGGCUUGCG
rfam:Bellilinea caldifistulae strain GOMI-1 contig_10, whole genome shotgun sequence.